AUAAGGAUAACCCUAAUUCUCGUUCAAUUUUUUUUUCUAAUUUCUGAUUUCUCACUCAGCUUCCAUCCCACUUUCUCUCUCCUCCUCCUCUUCCUCCUCCCUUCUUCUGUGGCUAUCUCCAAGGCUCCGAGCAAGAUUUCGCUAGUGGUUGGCUUCUUAGUUGACGGCAGGCUGACAACACUACUUCUCUGGGAUUCUUCUUCUUCGAUCUAAGUAUCUUCUUCUGAAUUGGCGAAUAAUUUACGAAUUCCAGUGUUGAUGCUGAUGGUGAUGAUGAAGGUGGACGAUGAUGGUGAAGUUGUGGAGAGUAUUUUUUUUGUUUUAAGAAAUGUUACCUCCCAGUGAGGAACAAUCCCUCUUUGUUGAUGAUGAUUAGAGGCAGCAACAAGCAUAAAGGAUAGAAGGAUGAUGAUGAUUCAAGUCAAGAAAACGUUUUCUGUAUUAUGUUUUUUAAGGGCUUUUAUCAAUUCUAAUUUGCUACUUUAUUCAUGGACUGAUUGUUUAAUUAUAAAUUCUAAUAGACAAUUGUUAGAUUAAUUUGGUUGAGGAACUUUGUUUUUUUAAUGUAUUGUGACUGUAUCUUUUUUAAAUAUUAGGUUGUAUGAUUGUAUGAUUUGUAAUUUUGUAUCAGGUUGUAUUUUUUUUAAAAAAAAAAAAAUUAUGGA